GAUGAACGCUAGCUACAGGCUUAACACAUGCAAGUCGAGGGGUAACGAGAGGAAAGCUUGCUUUCCUUGUCGACGACCGGCGCACGGGCGAGUAUCGCGUAUCCAACCUGCCCCCAACUAAGGAAUAACCUUGCGAAAGUAAGACUAAUACCUUAUAAUUUCCUCAGAUGUCAUCUGACGAGGAAUAAAGAUUUAUCGGUUGUGGAUGGGGAUGCGUCUGAUUAGCUUGUUGGCGGGGUAACGGCCCACCAAGGCAACGAUCAGUAGGGGUUCUGAGAGGAAGGUCCCCCACAUUGGAACUGAGACACGGUCCAAACUCCUACGGGAGGCAGCAGUGAGGAAUAUUGGUCAAUGGGCGAAAGCCUGAACCAGCCAAGUAGCGUGCAGGAUGACGGCCCUAUGGGUUGUAAACUGCUUUUAUACAGGAAUAAAGUUAGCCACGUGUGGUUAUUUGUAGGUACUGUAUGAAUAAGGACCGGCUAAUUCCGUGCCAGCCGCCGCGGUAA
rnacentral:rRNA from 1 species